rfam:Schistosoma rodhaini strain Burundi genome assembly, scaffold: SROB_scaffold0000747
AUCCAGCUGACGAAUUCCAAAUAGGACGAAACGCGCGUCCUGGAU